rnacentral:rRNA from 1 species
UACAUGGGGUGCAAACGUUGCUCGGAAUUAUUGGGCGUAAAGCGCGUGUAGGCGGUUUCUUAAGUCUGAUGUGAAAGCCCUGGGCUCAACCCAGGAAGUGCAUUGGAUACUGGGAGACUUGAAUACGGGAGAGGGUAGUGGAAUUCCUAGUGUAGGAGUGAAAUCCGUAGAUAUUAGGAGGAACACCGGUGGCGAAGGCGGCUACCUGGACCGAUAUUGACGGCUGAGACGCGAAAGCGUGGGGAGCAAACAGG